UACGAAGGACCCGAGCGUUAUCCGGAUUCAUUGGGUUUAAAGGGUGCGUAGGCGUCCUGGAAAGUUUUCGGUGAAAUCCUUAAGCUUAACUUAAGAACUGCCGAGAAUACUUCUAGGAUUGAGUACAGUUGAGGUGGGCGGAAUGUGUCAUGUAGCGGUGAAAUGCUUAGAUAUGACACAGAACACCAAUUGCGAAGGCAGCUCGCUAAACUGUAACUGUCGCUGAGGCACGAAAGCGUGGGUAGCAAACAGG
rnacentral:rRNA from 1 species